GAGACUCUGUGCGCGUGCAUAUCAAUAAGCGGAGGAAAAGAAACUAACAAGGAUUCCCUUAGUAACGGCGAGUGAAGCGGGAAGAGCUCAAAUUUGAAAUCUUCAAGGUUUUACCUUGACGAAUUGUAGUUUAAAGAAGUGUUUUCUGUUGAAGUUUUGGUAAAAGUUCUUUGGAAUAGGACAUCAUAGAGGGUGAGAAUCCCGUAUUUGACCAUUAUUUUCAGCUGUGUGAUACACUUUCAAAGAGUCGGAUUGUUUGGGAAUGCAGUCCAAAAUGGGUGGUAAAUUUCAUCUAAAGCUAAAUAUUGGCGAGAGACCGAUAGCGAACAAGUACCGUGAGGGAAAGAUGAAAAGAACUUUGAAAAGAGAGUUAAACAGUACGUGAAAUUGUCAAAAGGGAAGCGUUUGACACCAGUGUUGUUUUCUCGAAAAUCAAUUAAAAAAGGCCGGAUUUUGUGUUGUAUUGACCUUAAAAGCUUUCUUCACUCUUUUCUUGUCUUUUUUAAUGCACUUUUCGUUUAACAAGUCAACAUCAGUUUCUUUUGUUGUAAAAGGGUCAUUGGAAGGUGGCUUUCUUUUCGGAGAAAGUGUUUAUAGCCUUUGAUCUCUGCAACCGGAGAGACUGAGGUCUGCAGCGUAGACUCUUCGGGGUUAGAUACAUUUGUGCUAAGCUAUAGCUUUUUAUAGACAACUUGUUGACUAUAUUUAGUCUUGUGGCUUACUCGCUUAUGCUAUUUUACCUACGCUUAGGAUGUUGAACUCUAUCACACACAG
rnacentral:rRNA from 1 species